rnacentral:lncRNA from 1 species
CGGUGUGCAAUCCUUGGCAUAUUUGCUUCACGAAAGCAAAAGAUCGUGUCGGAUCCAACACACGGUACACCGACUUUACGCCACUCAAACCUUUCGUCGCGAUACGAAACGAUGCUCCCGUCCGUAUAAAAAUACGAGGCCCCGACACGAGCGUCCCAUUCAGUCAAAUCUGCAAACAGCUUGCGGCCACCAGCCACCAUGUCUUCUAUGCCUUGCUUUCCAAGUUAGAUUCCCCACGGGCAAAAGCAAUCCCACCAACGGCCUACUUUUUGUUGCGAGGUCCCAAUCGGCAGGCACAGACGCCCAUAACCUGUUCGAUAAGUUGACUCAGAGUUGCAGUAACCCAGAUAAGCACUACCUGGAAUCCUUCUCGCUCUUCACAUCCAUCCUGAAAUCUGGAGCGGCAUCUUCGAUUCGCAUUCGCAAACAAUCGUUGAUUCCUGUACCCAUGAGGACCGCGAGGCGGACAAGUGGAACCAUCAUGUGCUGCACGAGUCCUGUUUGACGAAAUGCGUGGCCCCUAAGAUGGCCGGAAAUGAUGGAUUGUCCGUUCGGGCAUUUUGGCUGCCGCUUGUGAGGAGCAGAAUAAAACAAAGGUCGUGCACCCGUCGGGCCUACCCAGGCUGUCA